AGUCACUGACAUUAGAUACCCCUGUAGUCCUAGCCGUAAACGAUACUCGCUAGGUGUCGGCCACGGUGCGACCGUUGUCGGUGCCGUAGGGAAGCCGUGAAGCGAGCCACCUGGGAAGUGCGGCCGCAAGGCUGAAACUUAAAGGAAUUGGCGGGGGAGCACCGCAACGGGAGGAGCGUGCGGUUCAAUUGGAUUCGACGCCGAAAAACUCACCAGGAGCGACGGAUAUAUGAAGGUCAAGCUGAUGACUUUACCUGAUUUUCCG
rnacentral:rRNA from 1 species